UACGUAGGGACCGAGCGUUGUCCGGAAUCAUUGGGCGUAAAGAGCGUGUAGGCGCCUGUUAAGUCUUGCGUGAAAUCUCGGGGCUCAACCCCGAGCGGUCGUGAGAAACUGGCAGGCUAGAGUGCGGGAGAGGAGAGUGGAAUUCCUGGUGUAGCGGUGAAAUGCGCAGAUAUCAGGAAGAACACCCGUGGCGAAGGCGGCUCUCUGGAACGCAACUGACGCUGAGACGCGAAAGCGUGGGGAGCAAACAGG
rnacentral:rRNA from 1 species